rnacentral:tRNA from 1 species
GCAGUCGUGGUUCAGCAGUAGAAUUCUCACCUGCCAUGCAGGAGGCCCAGGUUUGAUUCCUGGCCAAAUGCA